UACAGAGGUGGCAAGCGUUGUUCGGAAUCACUGGGCUUAAAGGGCGCGCAGGUGGUCGGAAGGGUGUCUUGUGAAAUCCCUCGGCUCAACCGAGGAACUGCGGGGCAAACCGUCCGACUUGAGGCAGGUAGGGGCUGAUGGAACUCUGGGUGGAGCGGUGAAAUGCGUAGAUAUCCAGGGGAACGCCAAUAGCGAAAGCAGUCAGCUGGGCCUGUCCUGACACUGAGGCGCGAAAGCCAGGGGAGCAAAC
rnacentral:rRNA from 1 species